rnacentral:lncRNA from 1 species
GGGAAGCAGCAGCCCAGCUUUGAAAGACCUGAUGAAACUCUCAGAAAAUAGCAAAUUCCUCCACAAUACCAGCACCUGAAGGCUCCCCGAACCCCAGCUGGUACCCUGCGCUGCACCUCUCUGAGCCAGUGUGGAUGGCACACUGCCCCUGCACACCCACAGACUCGGAGGACGUGGGGAAGCGCCCUUGUCACAGAAGCCACGAACUGUCUGAAAAUCUAAGCGAUCCCAGCUGCCCAUGGAUGUCUGGCUUCACGUUAUCCUUGCAGCUGGAAGGGAGACCACCGGUUUCACCCUUGGGACAAAAUUUGGAGAGGGGGCAGAGAGCCACCAACCCGCCACGACGCUCUGGCCUUGCCCGCAGCAGCUGGAGAGUCACAGCCCACGCCCACCACUGCAGACCUGGAGAAACCUGGCCUCACACUGCCUUCCUCCUCUUGGUCACCAGGACCACUUCUC